rnacentral:rRNA from 1 species
CAGCAGCCGCCACGGUAAUACGAAGGGGGCUAGCGUUGCUCGGAAUCACUGGGCGUAAAGGGUGCGUAGGCGGGUCUUUAAGUCAGGGGUGAAAUCCUGGAGCUCAACUCCAGAACUGCCUUUGAUACUGAAGAUCUUGAGUUCGGGAGAGGUGAGUGGAACUGCGAGUGUAGAGGUGAAAUUCGUAGAUAUUCGCAAGAACACCAGUGGCGAAGGCGGCUCACUGGCCCGAUACUGACGCUGAGGCACGAAAGCGUGGGGAGCAAACAGGAUUAGAUACCCGCGUAGUCCCUGUCUCUUAUAC